CCCGUAACGAGCGCAACCCUUGUCCUUAGUUACCAGCACGUUAUGGUGGGCACUCUAAGGAGACUGCCGGUGACAAACCGGAGGAAGGUGGGGAUGACGUCAAGUCAUCAUGGCCCUUACGGCCUGGGCUACACACGUGCUACAAUGGUCGGUACAAAGGGUUGCCAAGCCGCGAGGUGGAGCUAAUCCCAUAAAACCGAUCGUAGUCCGGAUCGCAGUCUGCAACUCGACUGCGUGAAGUCGGAAUCGCUAGUAAUCGUGAAUCAGAAUGUCACGGUGAAUACGUUCCCGGGCCUU
rnacentral:rRNA from 1 species